CGCGGCCUUUAUCGAUGCCGAUUCAGUCCAUUCUUCCCGCUGAAUCGGUCGACAAGAGCCAUGGUUUUACCGACGGUUGCUGUGAAGGUCUAACUUAUCAGCAACAAUUUGGGAAAGAACGGUG